rnacentral:rRNA from 1 species
AGAAUCAACGCUGGCGGCGCGCCUAACACAUGCAAGUCGCACGAGAAAGGGGCUUCGGCCCUGAGUAAAGUGGCGCACGGGUGAGUAACACGUGAAUCAUCUACCUUCGAGUGGGGAAUAACUGAGAGAAAUCUUAGCUAAUACCGCAUAAUACCUACGGGUCAAAGCAGCAAUGCGCUUGAAGAGGAGUUCGCGGCAGAUUAGUUAGUUGGCGGGGUAAUGGCCCACCAAGACGAUGAUCUGUA